GCUUUUGCGCAGUGGCAGUAUCGUAGCCAAUGAGGUUUAUCUGAGGCAUGAUUAUUGCUAAUUGAAAACUUUUCCUAAUACCUCGCAACAACUUGAAAUAUAGUCAGCAUUGGCAAUCUUUGACAGUCUCUACGGAGA